GACCUGAUAGCAUAAUGGUUAGUGUGUCUGCUCUACUUUUAUGUUGUAUUUAUUGUAAGCAGAGUAUCCCUGUUCGAUUCGGGGUCAGGUCA